GAUGAACGCUGGCGGCGUGCUUAACACAUGCAAGUCGAACGAAACACCUUAUUUGAUUUUCUUCGGAACUGAAGAUUUGGUGAUUGAGUGGCGGACGGGUGAGUAACGCGUGGGUAACCUGCCCUGUACAGGGGGAUAACAGUCAGAAAUGACUGCUAAUACCGCAUAAGACCACAGCACCACAUGGUGCAGGGGUAAAAACUCCGGUGGUACAGGAUGGACCCGCGUCUGAUUAGCUGGUUGGUGAGGUAACGGCUCACCAAGGCGACGAUCAGUAGCCGGCUUGAGAGAGUGAACGGCCACAUUGGGACUGAGACACGGCCCAAACUCCUACGGGAGGCAGCAGUGGGGAAUAUUGCACAAUGGGGGAAACCCUGAUGCAGCGACGCCGCGUGAGUGAAGAAGUAUCUCGGUAUGUAAAGCUCUAUCAGCAGGGAAGAAAAUGACGG
rnacentral:rRNA from 1 species